CCGUCCGAGUUGUAAUCUGGAGAAGCGUUUUCCGCGCUGGACCGUGUACAAGUCUCUUGGAACAGAGCGUCAUAGAGGGUGAGAAUCCCGUCUUUGACACGGACUACCAGUGCUAUGUGAUGCGCUCUCGAUGAGUCGAGUUGUUUGGGAAUGCAGCUCAAAAUGGGUGGUAAAUUCCAUCUAAAGCUAAAUAUUGGCGAGAGACCGAUAGCGAACAAGUACCGUGAGGGAAAGAUGAAAAGCACUUUGGAAAGAGAGUUAAACAGUACGUGAAAUUGCUGAAAGGGAAACGAUUGAAGUCAGUCGCGUGUGCUAGAACUCAGCCUUGCUUUUGCUUGGUGCAUUUUCUAGUGUACGGGCCAGCAUCAGUUUUGGCCGCCGGAAAAAGGCCUUGGGAAUGUGGCACCUUCGGGUGUGUUAUAGCCCUUGGUUGUAUACGGUGGCUGGGACUGAGGAACAUAGCAUGCCUUUAUGGCGGGGCUUCGGCCACCUUCAUGCUUUGGAUGCUGGCGUAAUGGCUUUAAACGACCCGUCUUGAAACACGGACCAAGGAGUCUAACAUGCCUGCGAGUGUUUGGGUGGAAAACCCGAGCGCGUAAUGAAAGUGAAAGUUGGGACUUCUGUCGUGGAAGGCACCGACGCCCGGACCAGACCUUCUGUGACGGAUCCGCGGUAGAGCAUGUAUGUUGGGACCCGAAAGAUGGUGAACUAUGCCUGAAUAGGGUGAAGCCAGAGGAAACUCUG
rnacentral:rRNA from 1 species